rnacentral:rRNA from 1 species
GAGGAAUUUUCGGCAAUGGGGGCAACCCUGACCGAGCAACGCCGCGUGGGGGACGAAGGCCUUCGGGUCGUAAACCCCUGUCAGAGGGAAAGAAGGGUCGCCGACCUAAUACGUCGGUGAUCUGACGGUACCUUCAGAGGAAGCCCCGGCCAACUCUGUGCCAGCAGCCGCGGUAAGACAGAGGGUGCAAACGUUGUUCGGAAUUACUGGGCGUAAAGCGAGUGUAGGCGGUCUUGUAAGUCGGAUGUGAAAGCCCCGGGCUCAACCCGGGAAGUGCACUCGAUACUGCGAGGCUAGAGUAUCGGAGAGGUUGGUGGAAUUCUCGGUGUAGAGGUGAAAUUCGUAGAUAUCGAGAGGAACACCGGUGGCGAAGGCGGCCAACUGGACGAAUACUGACGCUGAGACUCGAAAGCGUGGGGAGCAAAC